UUCUGGUUAGCUCAGUUGGUAGAGCGCUCCACAGAAAGUGGAGAGGUCCUUGAUUCGAUACUAGGACGAGACG
rnacentral:tRNA from 1 species